rnacentral:rRNA from 1 species
UGUAAGUCGAACGUGAAGAUGCAGCAAUGUAUCUGAAGUGGCGGACGGGUGAGUAACACGUAGGUAACCUGCCUCGAAGUGGGGGAUAACCAUUGGAAACGAUGGCUAAUACCGCAUGGUCUUGUCAGAAUGGGAAUUUGACAAGUAAAGCCUUGGCGCUUCGAGAGGGGUCUGCGUCCGAUUAGCUAGUUGGUAGGGUAAAGGCCUACCAAGGCGAUGAUCGGUAGCUGGUCUGAGAGGACGAUCAGCCACACGGGAACUGAGAAACGGUCCCGACUCCUACGGGGGGCAGCAGUGAGGAAUAUUGCACAAUGGGCGCAAGCCUGAUGCAGCAACGCCGCGUGGAGGAUGAAGGUUUUCGGAUUGUAAACUCCUUUUAUGAGGGAAAAGAACGGAUGGUACCUCGUGAAUAAGUCACGGCUAACUACGUGCCAGCAGCCGCGGUAAUACGUAGGUGACGAGCGUUAUCCGGAUUUAUUGGGCGUAAAGCGUACGCAGGCGGUUACUUAAGUCUGACGUGAAACCUCCCGGCUUAACUGGGAGAGGUCGUUGGAAACUAAAUAACUUGAGGCAAUGAGAGGUAGGCAGAAUUCCCGGUGUAGUGGUGGAAUGCGUAGAUAUCGGGGGGAAUACCAGUGGCGAAAGCGGCCUACCAGCAUUGUACUGACGCUCAUGUACGAAAGCGUGGGGAGCAAACGGGAUUAGAUACCCCGGUAGUCCACGCCGUAAACGAUGAGCACUAGGUGUGGGGGGGUCUUAAAACCUUCUGUACCGAAGCAACGCGAUAAGUGUCCGCCUGGGAGUACGGCCGCAAGCUAAACUCAAAGGAAUUGACGGGACCCGCACAAGCAGCGGAGCGUGUGGUUUAAUUCGAUGCGACGCGAAAACCUUACCUGGGCUUGACUGUACGUAGAUAUAGAAGCGAA